rnacentral:rRNA from 1 species
UGUAUGGAGCGAGGUUAAGCAGGAUAUGCGGAGCCGAAGCGAAAGCGAGUCUUAAGAGGGCGAGAGUUGCAUGCAGUAGACCCGAAACCGGGUGAUCUAGCCAUGACCAGGUUGAAGUUGGGGUAAAACCCGAUGGAGGACCGAACCGACCCCCGUUGAAACGUUGGCGGAUGAGUUGUGGCUAGGGGGGAAAUUCCAAUCGAACCCGGAGAUAGCUGGUUCUCCCCGAAAUAGCUUUAGGGCUAGCGUCGAGGUAAGUUGCGUGAAGGUAGAGCACUGAAUAUGUGAUGGCCCCAUCUCGGGGUACUGAGCAUAAUCAAACUGCGAAUGUCACGCCAACAUGCUCGGCAGUCAGACAGCGGGUGAUAAGGUCCGUUGUCAAGAGGGAAACAGCCCAGACCAUCAGCUAAGGUCCCAAAAUGUAUGCUAAGUGGAAAAGGAUGUGGAGAUGUACAGACAACUAGGAGGUUGGCUCAGAAGCAGCCAUCCUUUAAAGAGUGCGUAACAGCUCACUAGUCGAAUGACUCUGCGCCGAUAAUUUACCGGGGCUAAGCAUACUACCGAAGCUAUGGAUCCCAAGGGAUGGUAGGGGAGCGUUCCAUGAACGGAGAAGUACGACCGAAAGGACGUGUGGAGAUCAUGGAAGAGAGAAUGCCGGUGUGAGUAGCGGAACGUGGGUGAGAAUCCCACGCACCGAAAACCCAAGGUUUCCAGAGGAAGGUUCGUCCGCUCUGGGUAAGUCGGGACCUAAGGCGAGGCCGAAAGGCGUAGUCGAUGGACAACAGGUAGAGAUUCCUGUACCCGUAUAUAUGUGAAGGAAUGACGGAGAGAGGAAGCUGCAGCCAGCGGCUGGAAGAGCUGGUGCAAGCGAGAUAUCGGGAUGGCAGGCAAAUCCACCAUCCGAAACGAGAAGGCGUGAAGCGUACGGAAAGCUACGGCGAGUACGGAAGGCAGUGGAGGAACUUCCAAGAAAAGUUUCUAACGUUAAGUAUAUAUGGCCCGUACCGAAAAUGGACACACAUGGGUGAGGAGAGAAUCCUAAGGUGAGCGAGAGAACUAUAGCUAAGGAACUCUGCAAAAUGACUCCGUAACUUAGGGAGAAGGAGUGCUCAUAGAGAUAUGAGCCGCAGUGAAACGGCCCAAGCGACUGUUUACCAAAAACACAGCUCUCUGCUAAGCCGCAAGGCGAAGUAUAGGGGGUGACGCCUGCCCGGUGCUGGAAGGUUAAGGGGAGGGGUUAACGCAAGUGAAGCCCUGAACUGAAGCCCCAGUAAACGGCGGCCGUAACUAUAACGGUCCUAAGGUAGCGAAAUUCCUUGUCAGGGAAGUUCUGACCCGCACGAAAGGCGUAACGAUUUGGGCGCUGUCUCAGCUGUAGACUCGGUGAAGUCUUAGUACCUGUGAAGAUGCAGGUUACCCGCGACUAGACGGAAAGACCCCAUGGAGCUUCACUGCAGGUUGAUAUUGGGAUUUGAUGCAGCAUGUACAGGAUAGGUAGGAGGCAAAGAGAUGGAUACGCCAGUAUUCAAGGAGCCGCUGUUGGGAUACUACCCCUGUUGUAUUGGAUUUCUAACCGGACGACGUAGAGCCGUUGACGGGACAGUGUCAGUCGGGCAGUUUGACUGGGGCGGUCGCCUCCCAAAGAGUAACGGAGGCGCCCAAAGAUACCCUCAGCUUGGAUGGAAACCAAGCGCAGAGUGCAAAGGCAAAAGGGUGUUUGACUGCGAGACCCACAAGUCGAGCAGGGACGAAAGUCG